rnacentral:rRNA from 1 species
UGGGGAAUUUUGCACAAUGGGGGAAACCCUGAUGCAGCGACGCCGCGUGAUUUAGAAGGCCUUCGGGUUGUAAAAAUCUUUUCUAUGGGAAGAAAAUGACAGUACCAUAGGAAUAAGGACCGGCUAAUUACGUGCCAGCAGCCGCGGUAAUACGUAAGGUCCGAGCGUUGUCCGGAAUCAUUGGGCGUAAAGGGUACGUAGGCGGGUAAGCAAGUUAGAAGUGAAAUCCUAUAGCUCAACUAUAGUAAGCUUUUAAAACUGCUCAUCUUGAGGUAUGGAAGGGAAAGUGGAAUUCCUAGUGUAGCGGUGAAAUGCGCAGAUAUUAGGAGGGAUGACGGUGGCGAGGGCGACUUUCUGGCCAUAACCUGACGCUGAGGUACGAAAGCGUGGGUAGCAAACAGG